GUCACUUGUCAUUCUGCUGCUCCAUCCAGUCCGCAACGGUUAUUGUGCGCAUUUAAAAUGUGCGCCUGUUUUAAAUAAUCUCAAUGGUCACAAUGACAUUGGGGCUACAGCUGUGGUUCAUCAGAGCAACACUGCAGGAAGGAGAGAUAGAAGAUUUAACCGACCGCAGCCUCGAAAUAGAGAGUGAUGCAGAGGCUCUGUGCAAGGCUUGUGUCCCCCCUCGGCCGUUGCGCUCCUCCAAAGAAGGUCAUCUGGUACUGCCGCCCUCCGCACAUGGCAAUCUAGAGCGUUCUCAUUUGUGGUCCCUCGAUGGUGGAACGACCUGCCAAGUGCCACCACAGCAGGGACGUCCCUCUCUGUCUUGAAGAAGCUCUUAAAGACCCAACUCUAAGGACAGGGCUUGCACGUCACGCCGCGUGGCACGUCGGGCAGCAGAAGAUGCUGCUGUGCGUCUAGCACGCCUGUGGGCCACCAGAGCUACUGUAUCCCACGGCACAGCUGGGAUCUAGUCCUCAACCGCCUCGCAUUGUCUCCUCCUCUGACUCAAGGUGAGUCACUUCCUCAACUGAACAAUGUGCCACUACAGAGAGAACAACACAGCACUUACUGUGGACCGCACCGAAAGUCCAGGUCAAGUUUAUGAUAG